rnacentral:rRNA from 1 species
GAUGAACGCUGGCGGCGUGCCUAAUACAUGCAAGUCGAGCGAACAGAUGAGGAGCUUGCUCCUCUGACGUUAGCGGCGGACGGGUGAGUAACACGUGGAUAACCUACCUAUAAGACUGGGAUAACUUCUGGAAACCGGAGCUAAUACCGGAUAAUAUAUUGAACCGCAUGGUUCAAUAGUGAAAGACGGUUUUGCUGUCACUUAUAGAUGGAUCCGCGCCGCAUUAGCUAGUUGGUAAGGUAACGGCUUACCAAGGCAACGAUGCGUAGCCGACCUGAGAGGGUGAUCGGCCACACUGGAACUGAGACACGGUCCAGACUCCUACGGGAGGCAGCAGUAGGGAAUCUUCCGCAAUGGGCGAAAGCUUGACGGAGCAACGCCGCGUGAGUGAUGAAGGUCUUCGGAUCGUAAAACUCUGUUAUUAGGGAAGAACAAAUGUGUAAGUAACUAUGCACGUCUUGACGGUACCUAAUCAGAAAGCCACGGCUAACUACGUG